CGAACGCUGGCGGCGUGCUUAACACAUGCAAGUCGAACGCUGAAACCAGAGCUUGCUCUGGUGGGUGAGUGGCGAACGGGUGAGUAACACGUGAGUAACCUGCCCCCGACUCUGGGAUAAGCGCUGGAAACGGCGUCUAAUACCGGAUAUGAGCAAUCACCGCAUGGUGUGUUGCUGGAAAGAUUUAUCGGUUGGGGAUGGACUCGCGGCCUAUCAGCUAGUUGGUGAGGUAAUGGCUCACCAAGGCGACGACGGGUAGCCGGCCUGAGAGGGUGACCGGCCACACUGGGACUGAGACACGGCCCAGACUCCUACGGGAGGCAGCAGUGGGGAAUAUUGCACAAUGGGCGCAAGCCUGAUGCAGCAACGCCGCGUGAGGGAUGACGGCCUUCGGGUUGUAAACCUCUUUUAGUAGGGAAGAAGCGCAAGUGACGGUACCUGCAGAAAAAGCACCGGCUAACUACGU
rnacentral:rRNA from 1 species